UACGUAGGGCGCAAGCGUUAUCCGGAAUUAUUGGGCGUAAAGAGCUCGUAGGCGGUUUGUCGCGUCUGCUGUGAAAACCUAAGGCUCAACCUUGGGCUUGCAGUGGGUACGGGCAGACUAGAGUGCGGUAGGGGUGACUGGAAUUCCUGGUGUAGCGGUGGAAUGCGCAGAUAUCAGGAGGAACACCGAUGGCGAAGGCAGGUCUCUGGGCCACUACUGACGCUGAGAAGCGAAAGCAUGGGGAGCGAACAGG
rnacentral:rRNA from 1 species